AUUGAACGCUGGCGGCAGGCCUAACACAUGCAAGUCGAGCGAGCGGCGGACGGGUGAGUAAUGUCUGGGAAACUGCCUGAUAGAGGGGGAUAACUACUGGAAACGGUAGCUAAUACCGCAUACCAUCAGAUGUGCCCAGAUGGGAUUAGCUAGUAGGGGGGGUAACGGCUCACCUAGGCGACGAUCCCUACCUGGUCUGAGAGGAUGACCAGCCACACUGGAAGUGGGCAACGGUCCAGAUCCCUAGGGUGGGCAGCAGUGGGGAAUAUUGCACAAGGGGCGCAAGCCUGAGGCAGCCAUGCCGCGUGUGUGAAGAAGGCCUUCGGGUUGUAAAGCACUUUCAGCUGGGAGGCGUUACCCGCAGAAGAAGCACCGGCUAACUCCGUGCCAGCAGCCGCGGUAAUU
rnacentral:rRNA from 1 species